CGCCCAUUAAAGUGGUACGCGAGCUGGGUUCAGAACGUCGUGAGACAGUUCGGUCCCUAUCCGUCGCAGGCGUAGGAAAUUUGAGGAGACCUGUCCUUAGUACGAGAGGACCGGGAUGGACGUACCUAUGGUGUACCAGUUGUUCUGCCAAGGGCAUGGCUGGGUAGCUAUGUACGGAAUGGAUAAGCGCUGAAAGCAUC
rnacentral:rRNA from 1 species